GACGAACGCUGGCGGCGUGCCUAAUACAUGCAAGUUGAGCGCUGAAGGUUGGUACUUGUACCAACUGGAUGAGCAGCGAACGGGUGAGUAACGCGUGGGGAAUCUGCCUUUGAGCGGGGGACAACAUUUGGAAACGAAUGCUAAUACCGCAUAAAAACUUUAAACACAAGUUUUAAGUUUGAAAGAUGCAAUUGCAUCACUCAAAGAUGAUCCCGCGUUGUAUUAGCUAGUUGGUGAGGUAAAGGCUCACCAAGGCGAUGAUACAUAGCCGACCUGAGAGGGUGAUCGGCCACAUUGGGACUGAGACACGGCCCAAACUCCUACGGGAGGCAGCAGUAGAGAAUCUUCGGCAAUAGACGAAAGUCUGACCGAGCAACGCCGCGUGAGUGAAAAAGGUUUUCGGAUCGUAAAACUCUGUUGGUAGAGAAGAACGUUGGUGAGAGUGGAAAGCUCAUCAAGUGACGGAAACUACCCAGAAAGGGACGGCUAACUACGU
rnacentral:rRNA from 1 species